rfam:Felis catus isolate Cinnamon breed Abyssinian chromosome B4, whole genome shotgun sequence.
GCCUGGGUGGCUAAGUCAGUUAAGCGUCUGACUUUGGCUCAGGUCAUGAUCUCACAGCUUGUGGGUUCGAGCCCCGCAUCUGUGCU